CACUUACCUAUAGCUAAUGGAAUAUUUAAAUGGAGCUCAUAGGAGUGGAAAACAGCUCAUACAUAUGUUGUCUAAUCGAGCCAUGGAUCCAAAAGAACUCAGCAUAUAAUUAAAUCAAGAUGUGCAUGUGUGGUGGAGUAAAUGAUAGUGAAAAUGCAUAAGUGAUAAUAAAACUUAGUUCUCAUUGCUCCUUAUAUUGCUCUCUCUCCUCUUCUUUGAUCUUUGCUUUGGGAGAACAUGGGCUAUCUUUUUCUCUCUUUUUUUCAGGUGGGUAGUAGAUACCCCUAAUUCUACUGUCGGACACUUGUCCAUUUUUUCCGCUCAAGUGGGCAUCUUUGUACCCCUAAUUCUACUUCGGACACUUGUCCAUUUUUACCUCUCGUCUCACUCUUUUUCUUUCUUUUUCGAGGUUCCAGGCACUUGCCCCUUUUUAUUUCCUCGCAUAUUUUUGCAUAACCCAUGCCUCUUCUCGAGAGAAUAACAAUAUUCGGGACAGUGAGUGAUAAUAUUUUUAGCAAUUUUAAUGAUUGGUGAUGAAUGCUGUGGUAGAUGUGUGCAAGUGAAUAUCUUAAUUUAACCACAUGAAAAGCUCCUAAGGGUCUACAC
rnacentral:lncRNA from 1 species